CAGGUAGAGGAAUGUCUGCGACUAAGCCGAAGGCCAGUGGAUAAGGGUUGUUGAUGGCAAAACAGGUAGAGGAAUGUCUGCGACUAAGCCGAGGGCCACUGGAUAAGGGUUGUUGAUGGCAAAACAGGAAGAGGAAUGUCUGCGACUAAGCCGAGGGCCACUGGAUAAGGGUUGUUGAUGGCAAAACAGGUAAU